rfam:Triticum aestivum genome assembly, contig: Triticum_aestivum_CS42_TGACv1_scaffold_375870_5AL
UAUAUACUCCCUCCGUCCGAAAUUACUUGUUGCAUAAAUGGAUGAAAAUGGAUGUAUUUAGAAUGAAAAUACAUCUAGAUACGUUCAUUUUUCCGACACGUAUUUUUUGACGAAGGAAGUAUAUU